UUCGGGUUAAGCUAGGGCAAUUUACACAAAAAGACCUUUUUUAAAAGAAAUUACCGAAUUGGGCCCAUUAUUUAAUUAUUUACCGGAAUAGUCCAUUUUCCGGCAAAUCGCGUCCACGUCAGCGCGAUGUUAGGGAACGCGCCAGCAAAUCGCGGCCAUGUCAGCGCGCUUUGCUGACAUUGCAACAAAUUGCUCCCUCUAGGACGCGAUUUGCUGCCACGUCAGCAAAGCGUGCUGAUGUGGCCGCGAUUUGCCCAACGCAAAUUUGACCGUU
rnacentral:lncRNA from 1 species